CUGGAUCUUUAAAUUAGACACCGUCACACCUAAAGGCCUCAAUGAAUACAAUACAUAUUCUAUGUUUUUGUAAACCUCACUCUAUAUUGAUUUUGGUAAAUUUGAUCGGGAGGUUUCUUGCAUAAAACCGCUAGUUAGUACACAUAUGUGAGGACUGUGAUGUAUUAUGUGUAUACUUUCUUUAUUAAAUUUGGAAGUUUAUUCAGUUCAUUGUAUAAGUGACAUUAUGACAUAUAUUUGAAAUUGAUUUGGUUCACUGGCAUAUGACACAUUUGUCAUAAGGAGACAAUUGAACAACCUCUUAAUGUGUAGUAGUGUAAAUAGAAUUGGCCAAUAUAGGAACUGUGCCUUUAAGAUAGACACAGUAUUUGUCAGUGCCAUAUAUGUGAACCAAAUGGGCAUUUAUACAGUUAGUAUAAUUUGUGCAUAAAUCAUUAGUGUACACUCUGUGAUUUGAUAAAUUGGUUAGUAUACUUAUUGUUGGCAUAAAAUUGAAAUAUUCAUGGCGUAGUAAUAUUGAUUGGGUGUGUAAUGCACACUUAAGAUCUAUUUGUUACAAUAUUAUCAGAUUGUUUCUAUAUAACAGACCCAUUGUGGGUGGGCACUGGUGGAUAUCGUUCACUGAUUUGUGUGUCACAUUGUGCUUUCACUUAGUUUUCACGUAUUUUCACAUUUUUGUAAGGAAUCCAUAGUGUCUUAUUUCCACAUUGAUGACUUCUAUAUGUCUUAUAGGUAAUUUAUACCUGCAUCCUCCUU